CAGCCGCCAGCCCGCGCGCGCCGCCCUGCUCAUGCUGCCGCCGCCGCCGCUCCGUGCCACCGCUGCCCCGCCGCCACCACCGGCCCGGCACGGCGCCGCCCGCUCGCUGGCCAAUGGCAGGGAAGGUCGCGGGGGAGCCUCUCUCUCCUAUAGGCGUGCCAGCCCGCCAAUGAGAGCCCGCAGCCAGUAGAUAAAGAGACGGAACCGCUCGUCCCACCCAGCGCUGCUGAGGCCAUCUCGCUGCGCCGCUGCCCUGGGAGGCGGAGCCGGCCAGCAACGUCAGCGGGCCGAUCCCCGCCCGAGCCGCGACGCGAUUGGUCAGGCGUCCUCGGGUCACGUCACUGGCGUGCGGCUCUUUCCGCUUCCGGGCGGUGGCGUUGGGGCCUAGGCUGUCUGGGCUCGGCGCGGUUCGGUCCUGCCCGCCCCGCCCCAUCGCUCCCCGGCCAGCGCCGGACCAAGGACGCGCCGCUUCGGCUGCCCUGCGAAAUACCGCGGCUGCGGGCCCCCGGGGCGGGCUUUGGGAUGGAUCCCGCCGGCCGCUCUCGGGCGCGGGCUGCGGCAGAGCCGCGUGGGGCUGGAGGCCGAGCCGGCAGGCAAGGUAGUGUUUAAAGGUCGAGUGAAACGGAGCUGAGAAGGGACGGGCGGCUCUGGGGCAUCGGCUGCCGGUGCAGAGUGGAACUGCGGCGGGGAAGCGUGUUGGCAUGUGCGAGCUGCAGCAGUGGAAGCCGUGCUCCGAAGAAUCACGCCUGUCGUCACGGUAGGGCCGGCGGUGGAGGCGUUGCGUGGGCAGCGGCCAGAGUGCUGGAUGGGUCUGUCGUCUCUGUAGCUUUGGCUGUGUCUAAUGACUGAUUUGACAGCACUCACUUGCUCGGUUUUGGUUGGUUUUUAACGAGAUGAAGCAGGCGGUUUGUGUCACAAAGGAGCUAGCACUUCUUGUCAUGCUUUGCUUUAGUGACAGGAGAGGAGAGCCGAGUAGCCGACAGCUUUGUGCAGCUCGUCAGUGGGCUAGCUGCUGGGGGUGGCAACCAGAUGAAGAAAGGGAGGCAAGACUGCGCUCACUGGCCGAGUAUGCCGAAGGGUUGGUUCACUUGGUCCUGGAAGACUGCCGAACGGCCCAGCGUCAACCAGCAAAGCGCUGUUUGGAACUUGCCCUGCAACCAACUUGGCAUGAGCUCCUGGGCAGAUGCUGCAUUCUUCUCAAGACCUUGGAGCAGAGGAUGGAGGUCUACAGCAGCCAGGUCCAGCCUGUAAUGAUUCAAAUCAUCUGUUCGAAGGAAUUAUUAAUGGGAUUCCCAUCAGACUCCUGACAUUUUGCUGAUGUUCCUGUUAGAAGACCCAUUACCUUAUUUUGAAAAUGCUUUUCAGUGGCUUGUGGAAACGGAUUUGAUUGGCAACUUUGAUAGCUGCUGUUACUGACAGAUUGCUGUGUCCUGCUGCACAGUUCUAAAACAUGAGAAUCCAUCCCCUAAUUCAACAGGAGAUACUAGAAUGACUGUAACAGAGAAAUGCUCUCCAGGUGCCAAGGAUCCGACAUGGGAGGCUGCCAGUUCUGCAGGGCCUUUCAGAAGCGCAGCUGCGUCCAAAGCAACACGGACACACCAGCUGCGGAAGCUGAGAGCUCCAGCUAAAUGCACAGUGUGUGGCCGCUUUGUGGUCCUUCAUGGAGCUGAGUGUGAGAAGGUGAGCCUGAAAGCACUUGAAAUUGCUACUUGGGAUUGAUGCAGAGUUGGGAGGUUUGGAUGCUUGCAUUAUGUUUCCGUAUAAGAAGUACAGACAUUGUGGCUUACAGAAUGCUCCUGGACUCAAAGCAAAAGCAUCCCGGACUAAGAAGUCUUUCCUUUUGCUAACACAGGGGGUGACAGAUGGCAGAGGCAUCUCUUAUGGUGUCACAUUAUAUCAAACCACGUUCUUUUUGUCCUCUGCAGUCUUCACUUGUGUGCCAUAAGAAAUGUUUAGCAGCUUUAGCUAUUCAGUGUGUGCACAAGAAACUUGGUGGAAGGCUUCGUUUGUUUGGAGUGGAACUUGCCCAAGCCGCUCAAAAUGUUCCUGAUGGCAUUCCUUUCAUCAUCAGAGCGUGCGCAUCAAAAACUGAAAGCAGAGUGCUGGAUGUGGAGGCCAUCCGUCGCGUAUGCGGAGCCAAAUCGAGAGUUGAAAAGCUUUGUUGGCAUUUUGAAAAGGGAAGGGAUUUGGUCGAGCUCUCAGAAGGCUCUGCACAUGACAUCAGCGGUGUUCUCAAGGCCUAUCUCCACCAGAAUUUCUGAGGCCAUCAGUUACACCAUGGAAUUGUUGCCCAGGGCUGGACAGAAACAGACAUUACAAUUGAUAUAAUAAUAAACAUAUCUUUAAAUAACCGUCAGUUUCAUAGGCACGGGGCCGGUGUCUGAGCUACUGUCUUCUGUGAUCAAGGGAGGAGUUACACAGGGUACACACACCAGCGUAUCCUGUGGGUCUACCUACGCAGCCACGGAUAGGACACGAGAAAGUGUGACAGAAAGCUCACUUUGUCCCUAUAGGAACAGGUAGGUGAGUUACAAGCAAAAGCAGAAAUAAAAGGGGAUUCAUCAUGGAAGAAUGCUGCUCGGGAGCCACUCAUGCAACAGCACUUGUAAUGACUGCUUAGGGUCCAGAGGAUUGGGUUUCAGCUGGAUUUGGUUCAGUAUCGGGGUUACAGCUCUAUUAGGAAAGGCACCAGCGAGAGGAGCGUAUGUAAGAGCAGAACCAGCAGAGGGGCGCUCUUUCUUUUUUCUCUUCCCCCACCAGACCGGACAGAGCAUCGGAGCUUUCCUACGAGCGACUGCCAGGGGUGCCCUGGACUCGUGGCGCUGCUAAAUGAGCGUUACCAAGUGAACAAAUGUUUAAAACUACAGACUUUCAUGGCAACCAUAUGGUCAGUCUGUAGAAGAAUCAAGGUGAAAAACAAAUGCAUCUACUGAGCCUCAGAUACUUCUCCCAACUAACUCUUUCUUCCCUAAUCUAAGAAGUCGUAAGUAGUGAUGGACCACGAGGCAUUUUUGCAGAGACAGCCACCAGCAAGGGGAAGAGAAAGAUAACCGAGCGAUGAUAACAAAAGGAGUGCCUGUGCCGAAGCGAGCAGAAUCCAGGAGUUCAUCCAGCAGAUAACUGAGGAAGACCAUCAGAAGGACCCCCUAGAGGAAGCAAGUGACCACCGCAGCGACUGCAAAAAUGUGAAAUAGACACAAUUCCUGUGAAGUGAUGAACUGUAAAGAUGUUUAAAUAGGCACGUUUAUAGCAAAUAACCCCUUGAAAACUGUCGAACGUUCACGUUUUGACAUAUAAAAGAAGCAUAGUUCAGUCUUUCCACACGCACGUUUGGCGGAAGGAUCCUCCGAGCAUCCGGCUCCACAUUAAAGAAUACCUGCUUCAUAACA